AGACCCGAAACCCGGUGAUCUAGCCAUGGGCAGGUUGAAGGUUGGGUAACACUAACUGGAGGACCGAACCGACUAAUGUUGAAAAAUUAGCGGAUGACCUGUGGCUGGGGGUGAAAGGCCAAUCAAACCGGGAGAUAGCUGGUUCUCCCCGAAAGCUAUUUAGGUAGCGCCUCGUGAAUUCAUCUUCGGGGGUAGAGCACUGUUUCGGCUAGGGGGCCAUCCCGGCUUACCAACCCGAUGCAAACUGCGAAUACCGGAGAAUGUUAUCACGGGAGACACACGGCGGGUGCUAACGUCCGUCGUGAAGAGGGAAACAACCCAGACCGCCAGCUAAGGUCCCAAAGUCAUGGUUAAGUGGGAAACGAUGUGGGAAGGCCCAGACAGCCAGGAUGUUGGCUUAGAAGCAGCCAUCAUUUAAAGAAAGCGUAAUAGCUCACUGGUCGAGUCGGCCUGCGCGGAAGAUGUAACGGGGCUAAACCAU
rnacentral:rRNA from 1 species